rnacentral:lncRNA from 1 species
AUGUAUUCAGCAAACUGUUCAUUCUUACAGUGUUACAGAAAUUUAAACAGUCUUAAGUAUGGAAAACUUAUGAACACCCCUUUGAAAGCAUACACCUUGCCCCAGUUUCUGCUGCAACCAAAGGAGACUCCAACUCUCCAAUUCCAAUUUUGCAGGCACUUCGCAGAAUUGCUUUUUUCCACGAUAAUGAGCAAGAACGGGGUCCUGGAGCCCUCUGGUGGAUGUCUUGCAGAAGACAGGCAGCUGAAAGCGGAUGCACAUGGCAAUGCUGAAGAUGGAAUUCAGAACACUUGGUUUCAAGUGCCAAGAGACGGUAGUACAUAGGGCUUGUGAUGUGUUUGCUACAUAGGAGAGGAGAGAAUGUGGCCUGCAGUCUGGGUCUUGGUCCUGUGUUGUCUCCUGUUUCAACUCAGAUGUCUGUAGCCUUCAGAGCCAGUAUAAAAGAGCUUAUCAAUGACUUCCCUAUUGGCAAGCUUUGGGGACAGGACUGACAGCUGGAAGGUCUGUGAAGAAGGGGCCCUCAACCAAAUGAACCCAUUGGAUAUAGGCGCUUCCACAGAGUUCCGUGUUACAGUGACCAGUUCCUUACAAGUGAGACCUGAAGAGUCCAUUAUACUGCAAGUGGAGGCCCCAGCUCCUGAGUGUGAUUUGCUGUCAGUGAUGGUGCUGUGGGCAUGAGUGUCCUGAGCGAUGUGUGCAUCACUGACAGGGAAGACUCAGGGAAGGGGUGCAACCUCUCUGCUGCUUGGCUGGCAUUUUAUUAGAUGCUAGCAUAGACUUAGUCCCAGUUGUCUCCAUGAACUACAGGAAGCUCUUGGCUGCAGACUUCCAUAGAUCUCAAGGUGCAUGCUUCGCUAAGGGUUGACCCUCUCAAGCCCAGGCAGGGAACUGUGCUUGCCCUUGCUCCCCUGUUAUCCGCCAGCUAAGAUGCCACACCAUCACUGUCCUCAUUGCCUCUGUAGGUCUUGGACACUGGUGGAAGUCGCUACCUUCCCUGUACCUCCUUGGUGUUCCUCCUGUUCCCUCUCUGCUGCUGCUGGCGGUUGGCAGGCUGGGUCCCAGGGGCUUGUGCAUCCCGCCUCUCCAGCACUCGCCUUGCUGGUGCUGCCCUGUUGCAGCAGUCAAGUGACACCUUAAUAAAAAGCUUUCCUCCCUUAUCUCCUCUCUGGUGCUGUGUCACUGGGCUGGGGAUCGGGUUCCCAUCUCUUUCACACGCACACCUGGUCAUAAAACACUGGGUUUGUUUUUAACCUCAAACCAGGGAGCUUUAAUUAAAGAGACAGUGACCUCUUUUAUGAGUUUGCUCGCAUAGGGUUUCAGGGCUAUUGUCACAUACAGCUCACAUAACAGAGCACCAUUGCACAAAGCUCCAUUUACACAUCCCUCCCUGGCUUUUUUCCUCUCUUUUUGUUUCCAAACGCAGAAGGAGGUUGUUUUCUUGUUUACCCCUAGGCGAAGUCUCUCCUGUUAGUAGCCUAUGGCUAACAGUCUCUUUGAAGAGAACCUACCUUUCUUACUAAAAAACCACAUCAUUAGGCUUGGAGAAAUGUUAUUUUUUAAUCCCUGCAGCAAAUCAUCUUCCUGUCCCUAAAUUUGUGGGAUAUGAAUAGCUACUUAAAAUAGAUCUCAGCCUACGUUCUUCUUAGCUAGUUCUUGUGCCUGUAAA